GACGAACGCUGGCGGCGCGCUUAACACAUGCAAGUCGAGCGAUGAAACUUUAACAGAACCCUUCGGGGCGAAGAUAAAGUGGAUUAGCGGCGGACGGGUGAGUAACACGUGAGUAACCUGCCUUAGACAUUGGGAUAGCCUCGGGAAACCGGGAUUAAUACCAAAUAAAAUCAUAAUGACACAUGUCAUAACGAUCAAAACUCCGGUGGUCUAAGAUGGACUCGCGUCCCAUUAGCUAGUUGGUAGAGUAAAAGCCUACCAAGGCGACGAUGGGUAGCCGGCCGGGGGGGGGGAACGGCAAAAUUGGAACGGGGAAACGGUCCAAACUCCUACGGGAGGAAGCAGGGGGGAAAAUUGCAAAAGGGGGGGAACUCUGAGGCAGCGACGCCGGGGAAACGAAGAAGGCUUUCGAGUCGAAAAGUUCUUUUAUAGGGGAAGAUAAGGACGGGACAAAAAAAAAAAACCCCGGCAAACUACGG
rnacentral:rRNA from 1 species